UACGUAGGGACCAAGCGUUGUUCGGAUUUACUGGGCGUAAAGGGCGCGUAGGCGGCGCGGUAAGUCACUUGUGAAAUCUCUGAGCUUAACUCAGAACGGCCAAGUGAUACUGCAGUGCUAGAGUGUGGAAGGGGCAAUCGGAAUUCUUGGUGUAGCGGUGAAAUGCGUAGAUAUCAAGAGGAACACCUGAGGUGAAGACGGGUUGCUGGGCCUGUACUGACGCUGAGGAGCGAAAGCGUGGGGAGCGAACAGG
rnacentral:rRNA from 1 species